UACAUGGCUAUGGGACUUUUAUUGCUUUAUUUCUUUUGCCAGCUGUUUCUAAAGUACAAAGCAAAGUUGCUUCAUGAAGUAUCUGUGGCUGAAGCCAGCUUCCUGGGUGAGGAGUGAGUGUGGCUCUCUGACCUCUCUAACAACCAGGACUACACCUAACUGGACUGAUACAGGAUAUCUGGUAUGUGACCCUGUGGGGUGGUAGUCUGUGCAAUCAACCUGGUCCCAGUCGAGCAAGAGGUCUGAAACUCCAGAGAGUUCCUUUGAAAAGAGGAACCAUCAACCUGAGCAUCAAUGUUGAGCCCCACUGUUGAACGUCCUCACUCCAUCCAGAGUUCUGGUUGACCUCAGAACAGAAUUCAGCUCCUACUCUUCACUACAAAGAAAGAAUCUAAGUUGUAAGAUUCCUGAAUCUUACCAAAAGAAGCACUGGCUGACUUGCAUCUCUACCCCCAUGGGAAACCUAAUUCAAGGCCUCAGAAACAGCAUGACUUGGACAUUCCUAGGACCUCAGCCAUACUUGUUUGGUUUCCUCGUAAAUCUUCAAGCUCAUCCCCAGAGAUAACAACCCUGUGUGUGAGCAUUUCUA